rnacentral:misc_RNA from 1 species
AGCCAAUCCAGAUAUAAACACUGUAUGUUUAUUUUCCUUUCUGCAACAUGUACAAUUAAUAAAACCCCAUUUUACAUAUAGGUCAUGUACAUUAUUCUCUGUGCAUUCAGUUGAUUUAGGGAUGUGUAUUUUUUUUUAUUCCACCUCAAAAUUUUCUAGUAUUGCUUUAACAAUUGCUUAUAUUUCGUGCCUGCAACUUCUUGUUUAAUAAUCAUUGAUUACUUCUCUUUUUCGUUUCUUAUUACAACUAGGUUGAGCUUUGUGAGGAUGACGAA